CCUACGGGAGGCAGCAGUGAGGAAUAUUGCACAAUGGGCGCGAGCCUGAACCAGCCACGUCGCGUGAAGGAAGACUGCCCUACGGGUUGUAAACUUCUUUUGUAAAGGAGUAAAGUGCGGUACGUGUGCCUUAUUGUCUGUACUUUUUGAAUAAGGAUCGGACAACUCUGCGCCAGCAGCCGCGGUAAUCCGGAUGUUCCGAGCGUUAUCCGGAUUUAUUGGGUUUAAAGGGUGCGUAGAUGGGUGGUUAAGUCAGAAGUGAAAGUUUGUGGCUCAACCGUGGAAUUGCAGUUGAUACUGGCAGUCUGGAGUACAGUUGAGGUAGGCGGAAUUCGUGGUGUAGCGGUGAAAUGCUUAGAUAUCACGAAGAACACCGAUUGCGAAGGCAGCUUGCUAAACUGCAACUGACGUUGAGGCUCGAAAGUGUGGGUAGCAAACAGGAUUAGAUACCCCGGUAGUC
rnacentral:rRNA from 1 species